CGUAUUUUUACGUAGCGAACGGGUGAGUAAUGCAAAGGUUAUUUGCUUUUAGAUUCGGAAUAAAAUACCGAUGUAAAAGAAUCAGAUCGUCUAAAAAUAAGCUUUUGUAGAAUUAGGUAGUUGGUAAGGUAAAGGCUUACCAAGCCGACGAUUCUUAGCUGGUCCGAGAGGAUGAUCAGCCACACUGGAACUGAGACAAGGUCCAGGCUUUUUUAUAAAGCCAGCAGUAGGGGAUAUUGGACAAUGAGCUAGCGCUUGAUCCAGCUAUACCACAUGAGUGAUUAAGGCUCUUUGGCUGUAAAACUCGAUAUUUUGGGAAGAGAAUGACAAUACCAAAAGAAAAGUCCCGGCUAACUUCGUGCCAGCAGUCGCGGUAAUACGGAGGGGGCGAGCGUUAUCUGGAAUAAUUGGGCGUAAAGGGUUCGUAGGCUGUAUUUUGCUGUUGAAUGUUAAAAAUCAGAGCUUAACUUUGAAAAUGCAUUCAAAACGUUUAUACUUGAGUACGAAAUAGGACAAUGGAAUUUUACAAGGAGGGGUGAAAUCCGUAGAACUGUAAAGGAAUGUCAAAAGCGAAGGCAGUUGUCUGGGUCGUUACUGACGCUAAGGAACGAAAGCGUGGGUAUCCAACAGGAUUAGAUACCCUGGUAGUCCACGCCGUAAAUUAUGAGUGCUCAUGCUUAGAUUUUUUAGGCAUUUAGUUAACACGUUAAGCACUCCGCCUGAAGAGUAUAAUCGCAAGAUUGAAACUCAAAGGAAUUGACGGGGGCCAACACAAGUGGUGGAGCAUGUUGUUUAAUGCGAAAAUACGCGCGAAACCUUACCAGUUCUUGACAGUGUGUUAAGUGACGAAAAAAUAGCUUUUUUUGUCCUCUUUAUAGUAAGAAUUUUCACACACAGGUGUUGCAUGGCUGUCGUCAGCUCGUGUUGUGAAAUGUUAGAUUAAUUUCUUAAACGAGCGCAACCCCUACUUUUAGUUGCCAGUGUUUGUUGUUCCAAACAGGAACUCUAAAAGAACUGCUAGUGGAUAAGCUAGAGGAAGGUGGGGAUAACGUCAAGUCCUCAUGGCCCUUAUGAACUGGGCUACAAACGUGCUACAAUGAAAACUACAAAAAGAAGCAAUAGUGUUUAAGCUGGAGCAAAUCUCUAAAAGUUUUCUUAGUUCGGAUUGUGGGCUGAA
rnacentral:rRNA from 1 species